CCUACGGGAGGCUGCAGUGAGGAAUAUUGGUCAAUGGCCGGAAGGCUGAACCAGCCAUGCCGCGUGAAGGUCAGUGCCCUAUGGGCGUUAAACCUCUUUUGUGCGGGAGCAAUAAUGGUCACGUGUGUCCAGACGAGAGUACCGUACGAAUAAGCAUCGGCUAACUCCGUGCCAGGAGCCGCGGCAAUACAGGGGAUGCAAGCGUUAUCGGGGUUUAUGGGGUUUAACGGGUGCCUAGGUUGGGAUGUAAGGCAGCGGGGGACUGCCCCUGCACAACGGGGGGAAGUGCCAUUGAUACUGCCAUGCUGGAAUGCGGAUGCGGUGGGUGGAAUGUGUGGUGUAGCGGUGAAAUGCGUAGAUAUCA
rnacentral:rRNA from 1 species